UGGAACUGGGACAAUGGAGUGGAACGUCCAACCAUGCCAGGAGCAUCCAUGUGCUCAUAAGCAAUGGGAGUGAAUGAAGAGCCAGGCCCAGCAACAGAGGGGAGCCUGCCCACAUGGAGCAAAAGGAGCCGGACACCAGAUUCACCCACGGCGCGAUCCCGGUGACGGAGGCAGUGUGAGCAGGCAGGCGGCGGCCACUCUGGGGAAGGGAGAAGGAAUGAGGGUGAGAGGGGCACAGAGGGCCUCCAGGGAGACGGUCCUAUUGUGCCUCUUCUCCUGGGUGUCUG
rnacentral:lncRNA from 1 species